rnacentral:tRNA from 1 species
GGUGUUGUGGCUCAGUGGUGGAGCAUCUGCUUUGCAUGCGAAAGGUCCUACGUUCAAACCCCGGCAUCUCCA